UUGGUGGAGAGUAUCAACGUUGGCUAAGAUUGGAUCUCUUUCGGAUCUGGUUCUGAUAAGUUCCGACUUUGGAACCAAAAGAGUAGGACUCAUAGGAUAUGCGGGCAAGUUGACGCUCAGAAAUCCACCUCAAUUCUCAAGUCGACAAAAACCCAUUUUCAAAAAUUGCUUACAAAAUUUAACAAAGGUAAAUCGUGAUUUACAAGUCGAAUUAAUUUUAGAACCACGAGUAGUCAACAUUAAAUGAGAGAAAAGCAAUGGAAUAGUUAGAGAAAAUUGAAAUAAAUGUGAUCUGAAUCUGUUUAAGCUAACAGAUUGUUUUUUCACUGGUUCAAUUCGAGUCCGUCAAUUCAAGGUUAUUCAAAAAUGAGAGAAAAGCAAUGGAAUAGUUAGAGAAAAUUGAAAUAAAUGUGACCUAAAUCUGUUUAAGCUAACAGAUUGUUUUUUCACUGGUUCAAUUCGAGUCCGUCAAUUCAAGGUUAUUCAAAUUGAUUUAGCGUUCGGUCUCGGUUCAUAGUCAAGUAAAUAUUGUAGACAUCUGGGAUAUGUUCUUGAGAUUUUGAUUUGUUUUUUAAGACUGAUUUUUCCAUUAAAAACAUGAUAACUCAAAGGGUUUCUGGAUCGAGAAUGGUUUUGAAUCGAGAGAGAAAGAGUGGACGGACAUGUUCUAGGUGCAAUAGGAGCAAACAAAGUUUGGCGCUUUUAGCGAUUAUAAAAAAGAGUUCUAGUUUUGCUAAUAAGAAAAGGUUUUCCGCGUGUCGCUCCCGCCGUUUUCAGUUUUCAUCUUCCUCGUAGUUUUCUUUUUGUUUCUUAGGUGAAUCGAAUGGAAUUAUCCCAUUCGAUCUAGCCGCAUUGCCGCAUGCACUGAAUUAUUCAAUAAUUUCUUCCAUUAAUUUUGUAUCGUCUCCAAUUUCCAUGACCGUUCCAUCUGUGUCCUCCCGCCAUCGUUUUUUCCGUCGUUUCCCUUUUAUGUUCUCGCAUUUGCAUAAACCCUAAUCCUGGAAAACCGGACAUUUCUAGAAGCCCAAAGGAAGGUGCCGGAAACCUCACCGUAGAAGACUCCGGAUCACUGCGACCGUUCCCCUUGCUCGCCGGAGGGGAUCUGCUAGCGUCGGCAGCAGAUCAAGGGAAGGAAUCUAAAGAAUCGGCGAAGCGUCAAAGAGUUUCUCAAUCGUAGAAGGCGUGCAGAUGACGGAGGAAAAGCGGCUUCUCAGCAUGCGGCCAGGCGGUGGCGCCGAGAGUCAUCAGACUACUUUACCGUCUUCAUCCUCCCGAUCAUCGCGGUUGCCCGGCCUCGGAAAGUGAAUUUCAGGUGGAUCCGGAACCUGUAUCUGCGAGUAGUUACGCUGUGACGAACGUAUCGGAAUCAGUGUCUCGCUUUCCUUGUUCUUCUUUUGCUUUUCCGUUUCCGGGAAAAAUGCUCGUUGAGACCUCAAUAGUGAUCCUAAUAUUAAAUAACCACCUGUUAUUUCUGAAUUUUCUAAUAGCCACUACUUUUCUAACAACUUUCAAAUACGAGGCGGAGGUAACGGCAUACAGUCUUUCUUUGCGGACGACUCUCAAAGAACUUCUCUUAUAUCAAAAACAUGUUAUUCUAGUGAACGAAGAAAAACUGAGGGAGGGAGAAAACUGUCAUUUCGUUCAGUUUGACAAAGAUGUUAACCUGUUUUCUUUCAGGAGACAACUUGCAAAUACAGACAUCAGUUUACAGUGCACGGUUUUGAAAAGUAUUUUGUCCAAAUCCUCCACGUUAUUUUUAUCUUUUUAUGAACUAGAAAAAAAAAAACUGCGGAAAAUAGUGAAAUUCAUUUUAUUUUACUUUUGAUGCACAAAAAUCUCAACCUAUUUUCAAAUGCUUCCAUAAGAUCUACCAUGUUCCUUAUGGGGUGGGUGUUUGAUAAUAGAACAUAGUGUUCCAUGGACGUGUUCCUGGAGCACAUUCUUAGGACACAUUCAUGCAACACCACAUGUUCCAUGGAUGUGUCUCAAAGAUUGAGACACGUUUUGGAGCACAUCGCUGUGUUCCAAAGAAGGAAAUGUUCCUGUUACCAGACGCCCUCGAGAGUUUCUGGACGGGGAGGCGCUGAAUAAGUAUUGUAUGGCCUCAUCAGUAAUCGGGAGUCUACCCCACUCCAUGGAAACAACCGCCGUGUGAUCUAUAUGGGACCAUUGAUCCUUUUUCACCUAGGGGGACCAUAAACCAUUGCGAAAUUUGAUGUUUCAUAGAGAGGAAAGAAUCGACCAAGUACUGGAAUGGAAUUGGUAUUUGUCCCAUAUGACAGGCCUUACGUUUUUGGAACUUGUUGGAAGGAGAUGAAGACUUUGAACCCAUGAAUAAUGGUAGAUCUCUUGAGUCUACCUCCUAGUCUCGAACAAAUGCAUUAAAGAGCUUGUCAAAGAUAACUACAUCUGAUGCAGUUAUAGACACCAUAUUCGAAUUAGAGUCACAGUCGGUUGGGCUGUGCAAUCAUGCAAGUUUCUGUUUUUUAUCUGCAACCAGAUUCAGAUACCUACGGAUCUGUUAAAUCUGGCAAAAAAAUGCAUACUGAAUCCAAAUUCGUUUUUAAUCAGACUUAGACUUUCCUACCAAAUCUUAUUAAUUGGAUUUAGAUGCUAAUCAGAUAAACUGUUCUAGCGGGAGGGAGUACUUGAGAGAAUUCUUUUUCGAAGGAACACGGGGGACUGGGAGUACAUGAAAAUACCAUAUUAGCCGUAAAGCUUACAAUCUAAACGCACACGGGGGAAUGGGAGAAACAAGUAUGAGUCAGUAAGUGCAGCAUGUUCGAAAAAUUGGAUGGCUUCAUUCGUCACUGAAAGAGCUUUUCUAGCAGGUCCAGACUUCACUGUUUCCGAAUCUUGUAUCUUUAAUACUUAAACUCUCAAUGCAUAAAACGAUUCUCUCUCUCCCUCUCCCUCUCUUUCUCUCCCCACAUGCUCUCCACAUGACAAGUGUAUCUAGUAUCUAAUGCUUUUACGAGGUGUUUAUAAAGUUGGGUUACCGCCGCUGAUUUUAGGAGCACGGCAGCAUUGAAUGCCAUGGACGAGGAGUAUAACAGUUUGGGAGCAAGGCCCCAAGCGGAAAAUCCAAUCGUCGUGGCUGGAGCCUUUGGAAGACGUUCGUGAAGACCUCAAGAUGCAUUGGCAGUUUGAAGAGGCUCGGAGGAAACUUUUCCCCAAUUAUUCAAGGAACGAUCCUGACUGUCAAUGAUUGACGAAAGACAAAACCUUCUGACGUUGGAGAUGGACGGGGAAUGUUUCAAUGGCUCAAGGAUGUAAACAUGACUUCUGCCCAUCUGAUUUUCGAAGCUACGAACUAUUCUUUUCCUCCCAAUAUAAGAACAGAACUUCCAGUAGAUUGACAAUUUUCUGCCCUUCUAGCUGGGGGGGCUGAAAGUGACUGCAAUGGCACGAAUGUGAAAGACCAUUUCAAGACAUGGGUUAAUUUUGGCAUUUCGGUGAUGUGGGAGGCAGCUUUCUCAAGAGGUUCGUGGGUUUCCGACCACAGAUUGGUGGGCGAUCAACUUUGUGGUGUCGCAUUCUUUUCUUUUCAAGGACAAUCCUUCUUGAGGCGAAGAAUAUGUCAGGUUUGGUGGGUGCCAAAUCGAAGGUUAAGAUAACAGCGCGUGUUGCCAUGGUUUCUUGUCACUAUCUUUUUGAUAUUUUCUACAGUGACCGAGAGGCAUGUGCUGGGGAAAUGGACUCAUGAGAUUUUUUUUUUCCGUUUAGAAUUUCUUAUUUUGAUGAGCAGGAAAGCAAGGACGAAGAUUUCAGUUUUUUUUUCCUUUUCCUGACUGACUCUGAAAAGGGGAACCUUUUUCUUUUCUCGGGGGAGUUCUGAAAUAAACUUUUGUUUCUGA